rnacentral:rRNA from 1 species
UACAGAGGUGGCAAGCGUUGUUCGGAAUUACUGGGCGUAAAGGGCGCGUAGGCGGCCUCGUAAGUCCCGUGUGAAAGCCCCCGGCUCAACUGGGGAAUUGCACGGGAAACUGCGGGGCUUGAGUUCGGGAGAGGGAAGCGGAAUUCCGGGUGUAGCGGUGAAAUGCGUAGAUAUCCGGAGGAACACCAGUGGCGAAGGCGGCGUUCUGGACUGCAACUGACACUGAAAAACGAAAGCCAGGGGAGCAAACGGG